GAUUGUUGGCACAUCCUUUGCAAUAUAUCUAAAUUGAAUUAUGGUAUCAGAUAAAAUUAUAGAUGGGAUUAAAGCUUGUGUAUCAUCCAUUAUCAUGUGUAAUCAAUAAACGAUUUAAUAUUCUCUUGAAUGGAAUGACAACUGUAUGGAUUUGGGACUGGCAGAGCUUUGGACUUCCCUACCCACUACCCCUCAUAAUGUUGAAUGCUUCUAUCACAACAAGUUCAAAACUCUGCCAGAGAAUAGAAACCAGCUGCUGGCUAAUGCCACCCCAUAAGUCCACAGAUUAGAAGUGUUUGGGAGACCUUUUUAAACUGACCAGCACCAGUAAGAAUAUCUUAUUUUUAAUACAAAAACAGGCUUACAUUAAAGGAAAACAGCAGUUUUACUUGGUUCUGGUGGGUGGGUCCCUAAUAGAGGUUUAUAGGUUAACUAUACUAUUAAAUCUGUUUGGACAUUAAAAUUAUGGAGAUGGUGAGGAACCUUAUUAUAUUCAUGUUAACUGCAGUUUUCCUUUAAAUACGGUACAUCACACAACCAUCCUAAAAUGUUAAUUGUAUAGAAAAUGAUUUUUAUUUAAAGCCUUUUACAGUUACUUAAUAUCCAAUCAUUGUUAUUUGUUACAUAGGUUCUUUUGAGCCCUCCCUUGGUACCCUCAAUUUCAGUGUCAUUGUACCUGGUAGCAUAGAGAAUUGUUUAUCACUAGGACUGUGUAUUCCAUCCCGUGGGUGUGUUACUUGGAAGUUUGGGGAGGAGGGUGGGUGGGGAGUGGGGGGGAGGUGGGUGGGAAAGCAUGGUUGAUAGUUCCAUGAGUUUGAUAUUGGCUGAGUUUGCAAUGGCAGGUGGAACCUUAACUAUUGAGGGAGUUUGCAGAUACCUCAGGAUUCGUGACAAUGCCUUGUAAAGAUCCAGGAGAGAUGUUCAGCUACUAGGAACUGCUAGCAAGUAUAGCGCGAAUGGCUCCGAGCUCAGACACUCUACAGCUGAGAGUAGACACUUGUGGUAUGUGGAGUACAGAUAAGCCAGGGGCAGGCCACGGCACGCUCCAUGAAAGCUAGGAGGGAGUGAAGUUUCAGUGACCAUCGCAAGAAAGGAGGCAGACAAGAGUAAGGCACACCUGACUCUUAGGACUAGCAGUCAGAACCAGGAGGAAAGGUUUUAUUGCUAUGCUGGUAGGUAAGAACAGAUUUUACUUCCAUCCAUAUAGUGUUACCUAAAAUCCGGUUUUCUGUUACAUUUUCCUUAAUGUAUUGAGCCAAUACUAGUCCAGUUAAGCUGAACUUGGUUUUUCUGGAGAUCAAUUGCUUUAAAUUGACACCCUAGACUUGGCUCCCAAAUGAAGGAAGUAAACACUAAUUCUACUAUGACAAUAUAUUCUUGCCCCUUAAUUUCGAUUUAUUUCAUGCCCUCCUUUAAUACAUUUCCUUAAAACAAUGGCUCAAAGUAAUGCAUUAGAAUCUUCCCCAAAACAUGGUGGGAGGGAGGGUGGACCAUUAAUUCUGGCGGGUGGGGGGAUUUACCCAGAGCUGGGACUUGGUCUCAGAAAAGCUAGUUCUAAAGAUUGUUUACUUUUCUAGGGAGGAGUCUGCUACUCCAGGCUAAUCAACUCUCUUUAAAAAACAAAACAAAAAAAAAAUACAAAAAAAUCAGAAACUCAUCUGUCCAAAUUUAUGGCUAAAAGCAACAUCUUUCCUUAAAGAGGACAACCUUUAUCUGAGCCACUGCCCCUUAUUUUCACUGCCAUGGGGUUAUUAGCUGCUGUGCAGCUUGAAUUAAUCAUUCAGUUUUAUGAAUGGACUUUUUAAUAAAAUGCUUUUAACUUGG